UCCCGGCUAGCUCGGUCUGUAGAGCAUGAGACUUUUAACCUCAGGGUUGUGGGUUCGUGCCCCACUUUGGGUG
rnacentral:tRNA from 1 species